CCAGGCCCCCUCCCGACUUCCUCUCCUUUAUCUGUACAGGGCGGGCACCACACACACCCUGCGUGUGCCUGAAUACAUGCCUGUUUGUUUCACUGCUUCAUCCUCACUUCCUAAAGAAAUGCUUAGAAUUGGAAGAAUUAAUGUCCAUUCUUUGCCCUGACUACUGAGCCUCCUGCCUGGUUCUCCGUCACUGGCAGUUUAUCCUCUCAAGACCCUCGUGUGGGGCGUUUGUGGGUGGUUUGCGUGGAGUUUAGGCAAGCAGCUUUUCUUAGUUCAAACCCAUGUUGCUGCUAACUCGAGGACCCCAGGAGGUGUCUGUGGCCAUUAAAGAAAAUGUGAGAGAAAGAGGACUUCCUCGGUAUCCUUAAAUCUUCUGGACCUGAACAGGUGUCCCACCUCUCUCUGUAAAGGCAAUGCUCUCUCUGUGCUUGACGAUGACACAGAAACCCUGUAAGGCAUACAUGUGCCCCAAGACCUGCCUCCAGCCGCAGCGCUCCACCCAUCGGCCUCACCCAGCUGGAGAAGUGCUGGGUCCACCGAGGGAGAAAGGUCCGUUCAGCAAAGGAGCUUCAGGACCCAAGAAACCCACGCAGUGGGAGCUGGGAGACUGAGUGCAGAGCCAGAUUCAGAGAACGCUGGACUUGGAGAGGCAGGAGGAAGACUCUAUUCUGACACUGGAUUCUCACAGCAGAAUCACAGCACCCACUCUGAGGAGAAGCGAUCCUGGAACGCCAGAGAACCCAGCACCUGACCACAGAGGGACCCGACUGCAGAGCCGCGGUAACGCAGAGCGAGCCCCAAACUGCCUCACUGUUAGAACUGUGCGAAACAAAUUUCAUCAAUGGCCAGCAAGAGCUGUUGCUCUGUGAAACAUUAGAUUUAGAGAUGUGACAUAAUCUCAAAGAAACUUCAAAAAGGCAAAAUGUAUAAUGUGCCCACCAUUACAACACAAGAAUUUUUAUUUCUGUCUCAAGGUUUUAAUAAUAUUUACAUACAAUUUUACACAGUAGAUAUAUAAUUUAUUGUAAUGAGUGUUUACUCUGUUUAGCAACUAAUUUAUUAGCAAACCUUUGUCCAGAACCUGUUCGGUCCUGUGGGAACACCAGAGAAGCCCAACUGCCCCGGGGCCCUCAGGGCUCCGAGGGCUGUGAGCUCCUGCUGCAGCUCUGUCUGCCUGCUGUCAGCCCAGCUGAAUGGUAAGGCAAGAAAGACAAACAGCAGAGAAAUCCUGGAGUAGAGAGUCUCCAAGAGGCAGGUACAACGGAGCAUGCAUGAAAACUGAAGGCCCGUUUCCAAGAUGUGAUGGCCACAGGAGACUGGAGAGCCACCCGGCACCCGGCAAGGUCCACGAGAGCUUCAGGGUGUGGGUGGCAUGGAGGAGUGGACAGUGGCAGCUGGCUGAGGAGGACAUUUGCCAAACUGCAUCACCGGGAAGGACCCGACUGCAGAGAGGCAGAGACAAAGCUGCGGGCGGUAACAUGUUCAUUUGACUUUGAGUAUGAAAAUGAUUGACACUGUGUCUAUUACAUUUAUGGUCUGUGACAUACCAUUUAAAUUACUUUCUAUUCCUUCAAAAUUAUUUGAUGUGAACGUGACUCUUCUCCCCAAUGAUCUCUAAGUUUGUGAAAUAGGCAUAACAGAGGUGCCUGCCACUGCGUGGACCACGGGUGGUUUGUGGGCUGUGGUAUAGCAGCUAGCCAGUGUCCUACAAAUGAGAAACAUCACUGCCCCGGGACAAGGGUGGGGCCAUUCCACUCUCAGCCUGGUGAUGCCAGGACAGAGCUCCAGGACAGGGCAAUGGGUGAAGUACGGACACUGGCUCUGCUCUGGGUCUGCCAGGCCUGCCCAGCCCCCACAGGCACAACAACGGGGACGUCAGGCCCCCUGGGUGUGCUUGCAGCCAGUGCAGAGGGAGGCUGGCAUCUGAGGGACUCGGCUCAGGUUCACACUGAGCAACUUCUCCCAGGGAAGAAGAUGCCCUGCAAAAGAUAUUGUAGCACUAAGCCCUCUGUCCACUGCAGCUUAUUUGGGACAGCCAAACCCAGAAACAGCCUUCAGCCGGUCCUCGGGCAGGUCACCAGCUCCCAGACUUCACUCGGCAAAAGGAACAAAAUAUUGAUGCCCACGACGGCCUGGGUAGAUCUUGGCUGAGAGAGGAGGGCCCGUCCCACACGCGUCAAUUCCCCUAAAGGAUGAAUUGUAAGGAUGGAGACAGACGGGGGUGGCAGGGUCGGGGAGGGACAGGUGGCUGUGGCUGAGCAAGGCAGCAGGAGGGACCCUGAAGGACAGAGAAGUCUGCUUACCCACGGUGGUGGCCACAUGGAGCACUCGCGUCAGGGUCACACCAACCUAGACACAUGCAAGUGCAGGUGGAGCUGGAGCAGCCCGAGGGGUGCGGUCAUGGCAGCGCAGUCUCCUGGUUGUGACCUUGCGCCAUGGUCACCACCAUCCUGGGCCAUGUCACCACUGGAGGAAACUGGCUGAAGGGCACAUGGAUCU